UACGAAGGGAGCUAGCGUUGUUCGGAAUGACUGGGCGUAAAGGGCGCGUAGGCGGUUUUAUAAGUCAGAUGUGAAAGCCUUGGGCUUAACCUGAGAAUAGCAUUUGAGACUGUAAGACUAGAGGACGAGAGAGGAAAGUGGAAUUACGAGUGUAGAGGUGAAAUUCGUAGAUAUUCGUAAGAACACCAGUGGCGAAGGCGACUUUCUGGCUCGUGUCUGACGCUAAGGCGCGAAAGCGUGGGGAGCAAACAGG
rnacentral:rRNA from 1 species